rnacentral:rRNA from 1 species
UACGUAUGGUGCAAGCGUUAUCCGGAUUUACUGGGUGUAAAGGGAGCGUAGGCGGCGCGUUAAGUCUGAUGUGAAAACCCGAGGCUCAACCACGGGAGUGCAUUGGAAACUGUGGAGCUUGAGUGCGGGAGGGGCAGGCGGAAUUCCUAGUGUAGCGGUGAAAUGCGUAGAUAUUAGGAGGAACACCGGCGGCGAAGGCGGCCUGCUGGACCGUAACUGACGUUGAGGCGCGAAAGCGUGGGGAGCAAACAGG